rnacentral:rRNA from 1 species
AUGUUUAUUGAAUAUAAAGAAAAGACGAACAGCUCAGUAACUCUUAUUUUAUUUGAUGUAUUAGGAUUAUAACUAUGUUAAAUUAUAGAUAACAAUAAUACAAUAAGAAUAAGAUCUAUCAGUUAGUUGUUAAGGUAAUGGCUUAACAAGACUAUGACGGAUAACGGUAUUACUUUGUAAUAUUCCGGAGAGGGAGCCUGAA